rnacentral:rRNA from 1 species
AGCGAACGCUGGCGGCAGGCCUAACACUUGCAAGUCGAACGAACCUUUCGGGGUUAGUGGCGGACGGGUGCGUAACACGUGGGAACGUGCCUUUAGGUUCGGAAUAACUCAGGGAAACUUGUGCUAAUACCGAAUGUGCCCUCCGGGGGAAAGAUUUAUCGCCUUUAGAGCGGCCCGCGUCUGAUUAGCUAGUUGGUUGAGGUAAUGGCUCACCAAGGCGACGAUCAGUAGCUGGUCUGAGAGGAUGAUCAGCCACAUUGGGACUGAGACACGGCCCAAACUCCUACGGGAGGCAGCAGUGGGGAAUCUUGCGCAAUGGGCGAAAGCCUGACGCAGCCAGGCCGCGUGAAUGAUGAAGGUCGUAGGAUUGUAAAAUUCUUUCACCGGGGACGAUAAUGACGGUACCCGGAGAAGAAGCCCCGGCUAACUUCGUG